rnacentral:rRNA from 1 species
GACGGGACCCGCACAAGCAGCGGAGUCGUGUGGUUUAAUUCGUUGCUACACGAAGAACCUUACCUGGGUUUGACAUAUAGGUUGUAGGGAACUGAAAAGGGACCGACCCUUCGGGGAGCCUAUACAGGUGUUGCAUGGCUGUCGUCAGCUCGUGUCGUGAGAUGUUCGGUUAAGUCCGCUAACGAGCGCAACCCUCGUCGUAUGUUAUAUGUGUCAUACGAGACUGCCGGUAAAAAGCCGGAGGAAGGUGAGGAUGAUGUCAAGUCAGCAUGACCUUUAUAUCCAGGGCUACACACACGCUACAAUGGUCUGUACAAUGGGUAGCCAAGCCGCGAGGUGGAGCCAAUCCUCAAAGCUGGCCUCAGUUCAGAUCGCAGGCUGCAACCCGCCUGCGUGAAGCCGGAGUUGCUAGUAACCGCAGGUCAGCUAUACUGCGGUGAAUACGUUCCCGGGGCUU